AUUUGCUUAAACUGUACCUGAGACAGCCAAUUCUAGGAAGAGGUUUUGAGACACAACCCAACUUCUCUUUCCAGGUGGCCCCUGCAGACAGCUUGAAUCCAGACUGUCCAAAGUGCCAUGUGUCUUCACGACACUAUGUUGGCCCUCAUCAGAAAGGCUACAGGACGUCUUGUCUUUCUAGCCUCAAACAUAUGGUCUCAUCACAAAGGCAGAUGGGACGCAGGGAGGUGAUGGGGACAGGUAAUGCUUAGAGCCUGCUAUCACCACAGGGUAAGGGUCAGGUGCUUGGGGCAAGCUCAGGUUUUAUCUGAGUAUGCCAUUUAGCUCAUCAGUCCCAAACCUGAUCCUGGGACCUGACUGAGAGUUUAAUUCAAAGCAGCGUGAAGUUGUUCUUCAGGCUGGAUGCAUCUCAUUGAGCUUCCCUACACACUGGAUCAAGGCAACUCCAAAAAACUGCACAUCAGGUAUGCAGUUUCACAGCAAAUGCAAACACAGACAUGAAGUGUCAUAUCAGUAUAGUGCCUUGCAUUCACAGCAUGCUGGCAGCCUACUUAAAUACCAGCAUUUUCUUUUCCUAAGCGCAUAUGUAGUUUAUAAUGUCCAGCUAACUUCAGGAAGUUCCUUAUGCUCUAAGGCUGAAAUACUUGUAUAUACAUCACUACCCCAAGGACUAAUAGUAAAAUAGGAAAAUUCAUUCCCUGCAGAGAAGACUCCUAGACUCCUCUAGGCUUUAAGGACAUAUAACUUCCAAUUAAAGCUUUACAAAAGGGCUGAUGCAUGGAACAGCUCAGUACUACCACAAUAUAUGUCUGUCUGGUAAGUUGCCUAUGGCACUGCUGUAGCGUUACAAACAGGUACCAGUAAAUCCACCUCUGAAUGCAGUUCACCUGUCUUGGGAAUGAAGUUCAUCUUUCACAGCACAACAUGGUCUUCUAGAAGAAAGAAAAAAAAACCAUUUAUCAUUCCUAUGCCAGGCAGAGUUCAACUUGAAAGAAAUCAGAUGAAAUGUGUAUCAUUCAUCUAAGGAACAAACCCACAUUACAGAUUUGUCUGAGAGACGUGUGAAUGCAACCCAAAAAAAGCUAUCCAUUUCAGAAUGGGAAGCUUGAAUUCAGUCCAACCAGAAAAUGCAUGCUGAGUAGCAUCCAUUUAUUCAGGGGAGUAAUGGUUUCUUUCUAAAAGCACGCUGCCUUGUGUUAAACAUGGCAUAUGUACCAACAGAAAUCCCCAUCUUUGUGAAUGCAGGCUAUCUGCCAGCUCCACAAAUGGAUUUUUUCUUUUCGAAUAGCUACUGCAGUGGGGCUGUUGCCUGCAGAGCAGGUUUUGUAUGUUCAGCCUACUGCAAUCACCAGGUCUGAGUGCACAGUAAAUGGAAUCUACAAGCCUUUCCAAGUCACCUCCUGUGUAAAGCCCUGAACAGACAGUCCCAGAAGUGAAGUAAGGAACAACUUCUCUCCGCCCCUUUGGGCAGCUCACAUACAUGCUUUUAGCAAUACCCAAAACAAGAAAAACACCUAGCUCUACUUCGAUGGGAUUGACAGAAACAGAAAGGAAAUGAGAAGCUGGUUAAGUGGCGAGCCAGCUUCCCAUGCAGAGAAACUUCCAACUUUCUUUCCUAAUGGCUUUUUUUAAAGCGCUUCAUUUUUGCCUGUACUUCACUUGAAAAAAAGAAUCUUGGCUCACAAGUUCUCAGUGCCUACACAGAUGAAAGCUGUGAGAGGCCUUAAAUGACUUCAGCAGGAAACUACUGGGAAGGGGAGUGGUCUGUUUUCUGACAGUCCCAUUACACAUUUCUAGGAAAAAUCUUUUCAAGUUCUGCGUAUGAAAAUGAAACAGGAUUACAGCACUGCCUCUCUCCUGAAGACAAUCGCAACAACACUGUUCUUGCUCCCAUGCUGGAGCAAUGCAAAGUAAUUCCCUUCUUUUUCCUCUCUCCUUCUCUCUACCUCAAGAUCUUAGACACAGGAAUAGCACUUUAGAUUGCAGAAUUUUUUAGAAUUGAUGCAUUUAAAGUCUGCUCAGAUAGGACCCAUAUCUACUUCAGAAAAGGUAGAGCCCUCUGCAUAUGGAGAGGUGAAGAUAUGUAACAGCCUACAGGUAGACAAUAAAGCUUUCAUUCUGAUGAAGAAAGGAUCACUGUAAGUAGACUUGGCCCAAAUGCCCUUAAUAGGAAUGAUUUUCCCUGGACAUUAGUGAUUCAUGCGAACUCCAGAUCACAUCAGUAAAAAGAAGUCUUACAAGGAAGGACAUGCAAUACCUCACAGAUCACAGCCUUAAGGAUCCAGGACCAGUCAGCAACUGCAUCUUCUCAACUGCAAAGUGCUGGGCCUGUAAUCAAAAGGAUACUCAGUGCCUAGAACAGCAAUAUUGAUGCAGCCUGGCAUUUCUGUAUACUACAGUACAAUCACGUAAGUGCACCAAACAUUUGGCCUUUUGUUAUCUCAUGUACCAAGACAGAGAAGCAUGCCUUUUCUACUCUUCUACCCCAAUGAACAGAUGUGGUUUUAAUCACGUACAAAACAAAAUGCUCCCCAGUUUCAGACUAUGACUUUGAAAUUUAGGAGUAAAAGUUUUUUUCAAAGAAAGUGAUUUCUAAUAAUCCUGAAACUGUAGGUAAAAGGAGACGUGCAGGGAAUUGGAUAAAUACACCAGGGUUAUCCAGGGUUUUGUUUGUUUGUUUGUCCCCAGUUGGAGAGAAAAUGAAGGUAAUUUUGAUAAAGAAAAAAACUUGUGGCAAGACAAGAAAUUUUAAAAGAAGCCGCAGGGUCCAAUUUAGAAAAGUUACAGGAAAGUCAUCAAAACAGAUUUUACAGAGGAGUGUAAAUCCAGAUGCUACUUCCCUGUUAAUUGAGUUGAACUUCAAAACUGCAGAUUAAUUGAAUACAUAAUGUUAGCAGAACAAAAUAGUUAAGAGACAGAAAAUGCCACACAAAGCCCAAAUGCUACUCCACUGGGAAAUGGGCACCUAGAGCUGCUACAAAUUUA